rnacentral:sRNA from 1 species
UCAUUGCUACGCUGCGUUAGGGAUUGAAGCAAUUGUUUGAGCUCUUUUUGAGACGUUAGGAACAAAAAAGCGAGUGCGGAAAGCCCGACCCUUU